rnacentral:lncRNA from 1 species
GGAAACCAAGGGCCCGAUUCGCAGCUGUGCUACUGACUUCAGUGGGAUCGGGCUCAGGAUCGGGUCCGGGAUGAGGGAGGCGGGGAAGAGAGAAUAAAACCCCAUCACCGCAGCAGCGCUGAACUCCUCGCUGCCACUUCAGCCACAGCCUCGUGGCUACUGCGGACACCCCGCGUCCCUCUCCCCGACCUCUUCCCGGCCACUGGCUACCCGCGGUGGGGCAGCUCCCUCCCCCCGCUGUUCUAACCAAUCCCGCUGCCGGGGGGCGGAGGCGGAGGCUGGCUCCGCAUUUGUUAGUCCCUGUGGUGCAGAUGAAGGCAGGCGCCCGCUGCGAAGCGAAGAGGGACUCGCUGUGCGGCCAGAGCGCCCGGCUCCCGUUCCGGCUCCGCCCGUCCUCAAAGUUGGAGCAGGCUCGGGGCAAAGAGCAUGCAGGGCUGGACACCGCCGCAGAGCAAGGGCCAGCGCUCCCCACGCCUCCGGCUCCGCCCUGCCCCCUGCGAUGAACAAGCGGCUGCUGCUGCUCCUCCCCAGGAGGCUGCCUGGACCCCCAGGUUCCAGCCUUUUCAGUAUCUCCUCAUGUCUUCAACUUUUACCAUCUCUGCUAAACAUAGUGUCUGGUUACAAGUCAGUGGUCUGCUUGGAGCAGCUACUCUAACUCCAGCCUCCAAAACUGAGGAAGGAAGAAAGCUAUAUAUUUGAAGGUCCCAACACACUCCUUCACUUCCCCCUUCAUCCUCCACUUCCUGUUAGGGAAAUCCCACCGAAUUUCCUGGGUCCUCCCUUUCCUCCAUAUUUAUGAGACAGAAAUCCCAGAUUACUGGGUCAGCAGUCCCUAUUAAGUGACGAAGGAGACUCUCCUGCUAUACACACAUCAUGUUAUCUUA